AGUGAACGCUGGCGGUAGGCCUAACACAUGCAAGUCGAACGGCAGCACAGUAAGAGCUUGCUCUUACGGGUGGCGAGUGGCGGACGGGUGAGGAAUACAUCGGAAUCUACUUUUUCGUGGGGGAUAACGUAGGGAAACUUACGCUAAUACCGCAUACGACCUACGGGUGAAAGCAGGGGAUCUUCGGACCUUGCGCGAUUGAAUGAGCCGAUGUCGGAUUAGCUAGUUGGCGGGGUAAAGGCCCACCAAGGCGACGAUCCGUAGCUGGUCUGAGAGGAUGAUCGGCCACACUGGAGCUGAGACACGGUCCAGACUCCUACGGGAGGCAGCAGUGGGGAAUAUUGGACAAUGGGCGCAAGCCUGAUCCAGCCAUACCGCGUGGGUGAAGAAGGCCUUCGGGUUGUAAAGCCCUUUUGUUGGGAAAGAAAAGCAGCAGGUUAAUACCCCGCUGUUCUGACGGGACCCAAAGAAUAAGCACCGGCGAACUUCGU
rnacentral:rRNA from 1 species